rnacentral:rRNA from 1 species
UACGUAGGGGGCAAGCGUUGUCCGGAUUUAUUGGGCGUAAAGAGCGUGUAGGCGGCCAGAUAGGUCCGUUGUGAAAACUGGAGGCUUAACCUCCAGCGGUCGAUGGAAACCAUUUGGCUAGAGUCCGGAAGAGGAGAGUGGAAGUUCCUGGUGUAGCGGUGAAAUGCGCAGAUAUCAGGAGAACACCGGUGGCGAAGGCGGUCU